CUGUAUUCUUUCUUCUUAUUAUUGGCAUCAGGAGCAGAACCCCCAAAUCAUGAAGCAAACAUUCUCAUCCAUUGCCAGAGUCAUGUGUUGUAAAUCUGACUAAAAAUUGGAAAAAUAGAAAUUUGGACAAAAACAACCAGCCUGAAACCUGCAUAAUGAGACACACUACUGUAACAUUAUGACAGUGCCAGGUCCAGCAGUGUACCUGACACUAUACUGAUAAUUUAAAUGGAGCAAUAGUACCGCCAUUUCAUGCAGCAAGAUUAUACAGUGUUAUUUACCAAAAAUAACAAUGCUAUGAGAGAGCACUCACUUUUAUUUUUCUUUGGGUGGUUUGGGGAGGAGUUCACAUUGCUUGAUAAAGACACACAGUCGAAACAGUGCUGUUUUGCAAUUAAAGGGAUAUCAUGUUUUCACCAUAAGGAGUGCUGGACAUAUUUUUUCGGUUAUUCACUAAACUGAGAAUUGUU